rnacentral:rRNA from 1 species
AAUGAACGCUGGCGGCAGGCCUAACACAUGCAAGUCGAACGGACCCUUCGGGAUUAGUGGCGGACGGGUGAGUAACGCGUGGGUACAUACCCUUUGGUACGGAAUAGCCUCGGGAAACUGGGAGUAAUACCGUAUGUGGUCGAGAGACGAAAGAUUUAUCGCCAAAGGAUUGGCCCGCGUUGGAUUAGGUAGUUGGUGGGGUAAUGGCCUACCAAGCCGACGAUCCAUAGCUGGUUUGAGAGGAUGAUCAGCCACACUGGGACUGAGACACGGCCCAGACUCCUACGGGAGGCAGCAGUGGGGAAUCUUAGACAAUGGGGGAAACCCUGAUCUAGCCAUGUCGCGUGAUCGAUGAAGGCCUUAGGGUUGUAAAGAUCUUUCAGAUGGGAAGAUAAUGACUGUACCACCAGAAGAAGCCCCGGCUAACUCCGUGCCAGCCGCCGCAGUAA